rnacentral:misc_RNA from 2 species
UAAUAAAAGUGUUUUAUGGCACUUUUCAAACAAAUCCAUAUCCACCUUGUGUGCAAUGUUUUUUUUUUUUUAAAUAAACACUUUAUUUUUUAAUUGCCAAUUUAUCUGAAGAUCAGUAUUAUUAUGAAUUAACUUAAUUCAAAAUA